CCCUUAGAUGUUCUGGGCCGCACGCGCGCUACACUGAUGCAUUCAACGAGUCUAAAACCUGCUCUGAUAGGGGUGGGUAAUCUUUUGAAUGUGCAUCGUGAUUGGGAUAGAUGAUUGCAAUUUUUCAUCUUCAACGAGGAAUGCCUAGUAAACGCAAGUCAUCAGCUUGCAUUGAUUACGUCCCUGCCCUUUGUACACACCGCCCGUCGCUCCUACCGAUUGAAUGAUCCGAUGAAUAUCAUGGAUUGAGGAUGCAAGUAGGUUAGCCUAUCUUCAUCUUCGAGAAGUGAAGUAAAUCUUAUCAUUUAGAGGAAGGAGAAGCCGUAACA
rnacentral:rRNA from 1 species